rnacentral:lncRNA from 1 species
CGGGAAUUGCAAAAAAUAGGACCAUAAUUCAAGGACUUGCAGGAGAGCUAGAAAGGAGAAGCCAAAGCAAAAAGAACAGAAUAUUGAUUGCAGUCAGAGUGGGAGUAGAAUUAGUAGGAAAAGGGAUAGAUCAUAGGUUUGAAAUGCUCAUUUAUUAUUCUCGAUAUAUAUUUAACUAGGUUUUUAUUAUGUUUCAAUACUUAUUUUUAAUAUCUAUUUUCAUGAAGAUGGUUACUCGAUCACAAACAUCAGCAGGAGCUAGUAGCCAAUGUACUUUAGCCUCUUAGGCUACAUCCUCCCAUCCAACUGCCCUCCUGCCUGCCUCCACCCCAUCAGCCUCCCAACC